AACGCGUGAAGUUGACCGCCUGGGGAGUACGGUCGCAAGAUUAAAACUCAAAGGAAUUGACGGGGACCCGCACAAGCGGUGGAUGAUGUGGAUUAAUUCGAUGCAACGCGAAAAACCUUACCUACCCUUGACAUGGCAGGAAUCCUUGAGAGAUCAGGGAGUGCUCGAAAGAGAACCUGCACACAGGUGCUGCAUGGCUGUCGUCAGCUCGUGUCGUGAGAUGUUGGGUUAAGUCCCGCAACGAGCGCAACCCUUGUCAUUAGUUGCUACGAAAGGGCACUCUAAUGAGACUGCCGGUGACAAACCGGAGGAAGGUGGGGAUGACGUCAAGUCCUCAUGGCCCUUAUGGGUAGAGCUUCACACGUCAUACAAUGGUACAUACAGAGGGCCGCCAACCCGCGAGGGGGAGCUAAUCCCAGAAAGUGUAUCGUAGUCCGGAUUGGAGUCUGCAACUCGACUCCAUGAAGUUGGAAUCGCUAGUAAUCGCGGAUCAGCAUGUCGCGGUGAAUACGUUCCCGGGUCUUGUACACACCGCCCGUCACACC
rnacentral:rRNA from 1 species